rnacentral:misc_RNA from 1 species
AUUAGUUUGAGGCUUUUGUGAUGGUGGAACAACAAGUUUUCUUGGUGCAUCCUCAACACUAACGGAGGAGUCGGAUCGUGAGAAGUUGCGUCUAGAAAGAGUUGGCUGAGAUGCAUCCUUAGGCGUAGUGGCAGGGGGGUCAUUAUGUUCAGGCAUCUUGAGGCUUUCAGAUUUCCAUCUGCGUUGCCUCUUUAAAGGCUCAGCACUUUCAACAGCAUCUUGAUCGUUAAGCUUUCUUUUCUCAGCAGGCACAGCAGGAAGAGUUUUAUUCUCAACAUUCAUUUCC